UACGUAGGGACCAAGCGUUGUUCGGAUUUACUGGGCGUAAAGGGCGCGUAGGCGGCAUGACAAGUCACUUGUGAAAUCUCUGGGCUUAACCCAGAACGGCCAAGUGAUACUGUCGCGCUAGAGUGCGGAAGGGGCAAUCGGAAUUCUCGGUGUAGCGGUGAAAUGCGUAGAUAUCGAGAGGAACACCUGAGGUGAAGACGGGUUGCUGGGCCGACACUGACGCUGAGUGCGCGAAAGCCAGGGGAGCAAACGGGG
rnacentral:rRNA from 1 species